CAGUCGCCGCGGUAAUACGAAGGGUGCAAGCGUUAAUCGGAAUUACUGGGCGUAAAGGGUGCGUAGGCGGUUGUUUAAGUCUGUUGUGAAAUCCCCGGGCUCAACCUGGGAAUGGCAAUGGAAACUGGACGGCUAGAGUGUGUCAGAGGAUGGUGGAAUUCCCGGUGUAGCAGUGAAAUGCGUAGAGAUCUGGAGGAAUACCGGUGGCGAAGGCGGCCCCCUGGACGAAGACUGACGCUCAGGUACGAAAGCGUGGGGAGCAAACAGGAUUAGAUACCCCCGUAGUCCCUAUCUCUUAUAC
rnacentral:rRNA from 1 species